rnacentral:rRNA from 1 species
UGGCGGACGGGUGGGUAACGCGUGGGUAACCUGCCUUGUACUGGGGGACAACAGUUAGAAAUGACUGCUAAUACCGCAUAAGCGCACAGUAUCGCAUGAUACAGUGUGAAAAACUCCGGUGGUACAAGAUGGACCCGCGUCUGAUUAGCUAGUUGGUAAGGUAACGGCUUACCAAGGCGACGAUCAGUAGCCGACCUGAGAGGGUGACCGGCCACAUUGGGACUGAGACACGGCCCAA